AGCUUUGUGCAGUGGCAGUAUCACAGCCACUGAGGUUUAUCUGAGGCAUGAUUAUCGACAACUGAAACAAAAUUUCCUCUUUUGCAAGUAAAAACUCCAGGCACCAAAGUGU
ensembl:snRNA U4 U4 spliceosomal RNA